rnacentral:rRNA from 1 species
UACGGAGGGUGCAAACGUUGCUCGGAAUCACUGGGCUUAAAGCGUGUGUAGGCGGACGCCUAAGUGUCUUGUGAAAUCCCACGGCUCACCCGUGGAACUGCUGGGCAUACUGGGCGUCUUGGGCCAACUAGGGGCAGCCGGAACAAGCGGUGGAGCGGUGAAAUGCGUAGAUAUCGCUUGGAACGCCGAAGGUGAAAACAGGCUGCUGGGGUUGCGCCGACGCUGAGACACGAAAGCCAGGGGAGCAAACGGG